rnacentral:rRNA from 1 species
AUGCGUUGUUGGGUAGGGGAGCGUUCUGUAAGCCUGUGAAGGUGGCCUGUGAGGGUUGCUGGAGGUAUCAGAAGUGCGAAUGCUGACAUAAGUAACGAUAAAGCGGGUGAAAAGCCCGCUCGCCGGAAGACCAAGGGUUCCUGUCCAACGUUAAUCGGGGCAGGGUGAGUCGACCCCUAAGGCGAGGCCGAAAGGCGUAGUCGAUGGGAAACGGGUUAAUAUUCCCGUACUUGGUGUUACUGCGAAGGGGGGACGGAGAAGGCUAUGUUGGCCGGGCGACGGUUGUCCCGGUUUAAGCGUGUAGGUGUGUGUUCCAGGUAAAUCCGGUUCACUUUAACACUGAGGCGUGACGACGAGGCACUACGGUGCUGAAGCAACAAAUGCCCUGCUUCCAGGAAAAGCCUCUAAGCAUCAGGUAACAUCAAAUCGUACCCCAAACCGACACAGGUGGUCAGGUAGAGAAUACCAAGGCGCUUGAGAGAACUCGGGUGAAGGAACUAGGCAAAAUGGUGCCGUAACUUCGGGAGAAGGCACGCUGACACGUAGGUGAAGUGAUUUACUCAUGGAGCUGAAGUCAGUCGAAGAUACCAGCUGGCUGCAACUGUUUAUUAAAAACACAGCACUGUGCAAACACGAAAGUGGACGUAUACGGUGUGACGCCUGCCCGGUGCCGGAAGGUUAAUUGAUGGGGUCAGCGCAAGCGAAGCUCCUGAUCGAAGCCCCGGUAAACGGCGGCCGUAACUAUAACGGUCCUAAGGUAGCGAAAUUCCUUGUCGGGUAAGUUCCGACCUGCACGAAUGGCGUAAUGAUGGCCAGGCUGUCUCCACCCGAGACUCAGUGAAAUUGAACUCGCUGUGAAGAUGCAGUGUACCCGCGGCAAGACGGAAAGACCCCGUGAACCUUUACUAUAGCUUGACACUGAACAUUGAGCCUUGAUGUGUAGGAUAGGUGGG